GACGAACGCUGGCGGCGUGCCUAAUACAUGCAAGUCGAGCGCAGGAAACUGACGGAACUCUUCGGAGGGAAGGCAGUGGAAUGAGCGGCGGACGGGUGAGUAACACAUAAGGAACCUGCCUCAAGGAUUGGGAUAACUCCGAGAAAUCGGAGCUAAUACCGGAUAGUUCAACGGACCGCAUGGUCCGCUGAUGAAAGGCGCUCCGGCGUCACCUUGAGAUGGCCUUGCGGUGCAUUAGCUAGUUGGUGGGGUAACGGCCCACCAAGGCGACGAUGCAUAGCCGACCUGAGAGGGUGAUCGGCCACACUGGGACUGAGACACGGCCCAGACUCCUACGGGAGGCAGCAGUAGGGAAUCUUCCACAAUGGACGAAAGUCUGAUGGAGCAACGCCGCGUGAGUGAUGAAGGUUUUCGGAUCGUAAAACUCUGUUGUAAGGGAAGAACACGUACGAGAGGAAAUGCUCGUACCUUGACGGUACCUUACGAGAAAGCCACGGCUAACUUCGUGCCAGCAGCCGCGGUAA
rnacentral:rRNA from 1 species